CAAAAAGAAAAAAAGAAAAAGGAAAUAACACAUUGACGAAGAAAAGAACAGAGAAGACACGAAAGAAUCAACAAAAAUUUGGCAGGGAGUCUUUUACGAAAACGUCAGAAUUUUGUAGAGAAAGAGAGAGAAACGAAUUUUGAAAAGAAUAAAAUAAAAAGGAACAAAAAUAAUCCUGAUAACUCCCCAAAUCCCAACUCCCC
rnacentral:lncRNA from 1 species